rnacentral:lncRNA from 1 species
CUUAUCUUUUACCUAGUAUUUGGUUUGCUUUUUUGUAUAUAGUCUUACUUUGUCUUGUUCAUGUCGGACUAUUUCAUCAAUUUCAUUUUAAGUGUUAAUAUUGAGAAAAAAUCCAAUAUAAUAUAUUAUUAUAUUAUAUUAUAUUUGAACUGCUUUCCUACUCAAAUAAUUUAUUUUAUUGUUAAUUUUAAUAUAGAAAAAUAUACCUAAUUAUUAAAGAACAACUAAGAAAAAUUUUAAGAAUAUAAAUGUGUGAGAAAAAAUAGGAAAAAAUGUUAGUAAAAGCCAAUAUCACUAAUGAUUUUGCAAACAUAAAGAUCUAAAGGUGGAAUGUCAUCGAUGUUUUUACUCUUUGAAAAUAAAACCACUUGGUGGAUAAAAUUAUAAUCACGGUUAAAUAUUCAAACAUGAGAUGAACUAAUAUUAAGAAUCUAAAUCAACAGAAAAUGAAUUAUAUUUCAUGUUAAAACCAAAUAAUUAAAUCUUUCAAUUAUUUAUUUAGCAAGAGAAUACAAUUAAAUUAUUUUUUAAAUUCAUCAUAUGAGAGAAAUUAUUUUUCAAGUUGAAAAAAAUAUAAUAUUAAGAAGAUCAUACAAGUAUUUGAGGAAGCACAAUCUAAGCUAAAUCCUGAACAAGAAUAAGUUUUCAAGAUUAUAUUAUAAAAACUGACUCGGGUAUAGCGGGAUUAUCUUUUGUAGAUGCCUCCGACGGAAUCAAAAUAAUAUUUCUAUGUCAUGUAUUAUUUGCAAAUAUCAAAUCAAGAGGCAUGAUAUUAUUAGCAGUAAGAACAAGUGGUUUACCAACAACAAUUUUAUUAUGAGGUCGUACAACUCACUUUAGAUUUGAUAUACCUCUUGAAAUAACUGAAAUAACCAUCACAAAUAUGUCAAAUCAGAUCAAUAGUGCUAAAUUUAUAAGGAAAACAAAAGUUAUGGGAUGAAGCGAAUUUGGCUAAGCGUCAAACGAUCAAAAUAAUUACCCAUUGUUUUAGAGAUAUAUUGGAUAUCGAGAACCAUUUGGUAAAAACGUAAUAGUUUGGGAGGUGAUUUCUGUCAGAUACGAUCAGUAGUUCCAAAAUUGACCAAAGCAGAAACUGUAAAGCUAGCUUUCCAAAAUUAUACUUAUGACCUCAAAUAAAAAAUAUUCAAAUGACAAGAAAUAUAAAAUUAAUAACAAAUCCAACAUUCAAUGACUUCUUGCUUCCUGUCGGAAACGAAGAAGAGCAUCAAAUAAAAGAUGAUUUGGUUCUUCUAGAACACUUGGUUAUUGUAAUGAUCCGGCUGGUCGUUUUGAGUAUCUGCACUUCGCUCGGUAUUUUGAGGUCUCGAGUAUCUUCGCAUGAUGUAUUAUGACUUGUGUAAGUCGUCGGUAUUGGUUUUCAAGUUAUCCGAAAUCGAUUUGGAAGAAUGAACUUAAAGAUUUAAGCUCUAAGUUGGAAGAGUUGACCAAGUUUGAUUUUUUAGCAUUUAACCUCGGAAUACAAUUCCGUCAAUUCCGAUAGCUCCGUUGGGUAAUUUUGGACUUAGGAGCGCGUCCGAACUGUAAAUUGGAGGUCCGUAAUUGAAUAAGUCUUGAAAUGGCGAAAGUUGGAUUUUUGGAAAGUUUGACGGGGAGUGGACUUUUUGAUAUCGUGGUCGGAUUUCGAUUUCGUCAGUUCGAAUAGGUCUGUAAUGACAAAUGUGACUUGUAUGAAAAAAUUGGGAUCAAUUGCACGUGAUUUAAUAGGUUUCAGCAUCGGUUGUAGAAGUUGAAGUUUCAAAGUUCAUUGACUUGGACUUGAGAUACGAUUUGUCGUUUUGAGGUUGUUAUGCGUGAUUUGAAGCUUCGAGUAGGUUCGUUUUGUCAUAUAGAACUUGUCCGCAAAAUUUAGAUCCAUUUGGAAUUGAUUUGAUAUGGUUCGGACACUUGGUUGUGAUUCUAGAAGUUCUUAAAGUUUAGUUUGAUCCUCAUGCAUUUAGGCGUCCGAUUCGUGGUUUUAGAGGUUAUUUUGAUGAUUUGAUCGCACGAGCGAGUUCGUGUUGUGUUUCUGGACUUUGGUUCAUGGUUAGUUUGGAUCCUCAAGGGCUCGGGUGAGUUUCGGAAUGAUUUUUCAUAAACUUUGAUUUUUGGUAAUGGUAUCAUCACAGUUGCGAUGUUUUUGUCGCAAAUGCGACAACCGCAAUUGCAAAGCAGCCAUCGCAUUUACAAGGUCUGGGCUGCUGGGAAAAUUUGCAUUUGCCAAGAACCCUGCCGCAUUUGCGAAAUGUUGGUCUUCGUAUUUGCGAAGUAUUGGGUCGCAAAUGCGACCUUGACAGGAAAACUUCUUGAGAGUCGAAUAGGACUCGGAUUUGAAAACAAAAUAUAUAUUUGAACUCGUGAGGCUAUGGGUAGUCAAGACCUACCAUUGGACCCGGAUUUUUACCUGGCGGGCCAGGGGUUUGACUUUUUAGAAAUCUAAUAAAAAUCACAGUUUUAUUAAUUAAAAUUACUUUCUCUUUCAUUGUGUGAUGUAUUCAAGUCAUCGUUGGAUAGAUUGAGCCGAGCGGAGGCGAAUUUGUAAAGGAAAAGGCUAAAUUUAGUAUUGAGUUAGCCGAAUUGAGGUAAGUGUCUUGCCUAACUUUGUUGAGGGAAUUUUUCCUCCUAUUUGACAAUGUUUUCUACAUGCGGGGGUGAUACAUAUAUGAGGUGACGAGCGUAUAUAUAUGUGCCAGGGUUAAUCAUGCUUGGGGGUAGAUUAUGUAUAAUUAUGUCUUGUACAAUUACGUGACCUUCUUGCUCCAUGCCUUACUUGACUCUUAGAUACUAAGAACAUAGUAUUAAAUGUUGAAAAUCAAGAUUUAAAUUAUUAUAACUUGAUCAAAUUUGAUGGAAUUCUAAGAAUACAUUUAUGUGUCUAAUUCGGUUAUUCCUAUGCGUAGUCAUUAAUACAUUGCUACAGCCGAUCUUCUAGAGAUACUAGAUUCUAUACUUGUGUUGUUGAUCAUUUGGAGAUUUGUGGAAGUACUUGAAUAAUACGGUUCUUGAGGGUUUAUUGAAUCAUCGUUGGCUUGGAAAGUUGUGAUUGGGAUUUGUUUGGAAUAUUCGUUUAAACACUCUCCUUGAUGUUAUUUAUUCCCCAUGUGUUGUUUGUCAUUGAUAUACACAUGUUUGGUAAGGAAGAGUGUAAAGUACGAAGGGUGAUGCCGUGCCAUAGUUAUACAUUAUCAUGUGAGGGAGAGUGUAAAGCACGAAGGGUGAUGUCGUGCCAUAUUAUUUGAGAGUAAAAGCACGAAGGGUGAUGCCGUGCCAUAUUAUUUGAGAGUAAAAGCACGAAGGGUGAUGCCGUGCCAUAUUAUUGGGAGUAAAAGCACGAAGGGUGAUGCCGUGCCACAUCAUUUGAGAGUAAAAGUAGGAAGGGUGAUGUUGUGCCAUUUCAUUUAUAUUGUUAUGCUUUUAUGUUAUCGUGAGAUCAUGGCACGAUGGGUGUUUUCGUGCAGGUGAGGAUGAGGGACAUGCAUCAUGUUGUGAUAUCUGUUUUUCCGUGUAUAUGUUCACGUCUUUAUCUUGAACGGUUAUUGUCGUAUUUAUAGACCUCGUGUGACUUGUUAUUAUUGUCCUGUCCUUGCUCUCUAUUUCAAUCGUUGUUGUGUUGUACAUAUCUUGUACUUGUUUUAUUUGCAAAACACAUGCCUAUUUCCUGUUGUUAUAAUUACCUCCAUGUCGUGUCUAUUCUGUUGCAUUUUAGUACAAGCCCUUUUUCUAUGUUAGUUAUUCAUGCCUCUGCUUGUUAACUUGUAAAGAUCAUGUGAUUCCUUCUUAUUUGUUAUAUCUGUACUUAGGCCUCCAUCAUGCUAGUUAAUUGAAGUUGAUAUUCCUUAUUUUUCAAUUGUUGUCAUUACUCACAUGCUUUCCGCCUAGUCUUUUAUUGUUGCCCACAUGUAUAUCCUCGUUCAUUAUUGCUACUUGCGUAUUUCCUACUUUGUAAUUCCUAUUUUCGAUAUUUAUGUCAUCUAGUUGGUUCUAUUAUAAGUAUAUGAGGAUGAGAUAAAAGCACGAAGGGUGUUGCCAUGUAAUUAACUUGAUAUCUGAGUACAUUCCUCAUGCUAUGAAAGUUAUGAAGUGACUGUAGUGGUUUAUCAGUUUCAUUCUAAGGAAAGCGAUGGUCAAGGUAUUGUAAGAUGCUAAAUUGUGAUCACUGCUAGUAUUCGAUUAUUAUUUGCGUAUUCGUUUCAUGUAAUCUUUUCUGUUAUAGCGUGGUAUAACUCUAUUGUUGAUUUAUACUACAGGUUUUUAUCAGUGAGUAUCUUUUAACUAAAAAGCCUCGUCACUACUUCCACGAGGUUAGACGAGAUACUUACCAGUAUAUGGGGUCGGUUGUACUGAUACAACACUUCUGCACAUUGCGUGCAGAUUUUGGAGUGGAGCUGCAAGUGAUAUCGGGUGCUGACUUUGAAGAUGUUCAUGCAUUCUGGAUAUAGUUUCCACUUGUCCUUGGUAGCUUAGGUUGUGCUAAUCUCUUAAGUAAAUUUCAAACACAUCGUGUAAUUAUUUGUACUAGCUUUAUAAAUUCCAAGUCUUAGAAGGUCAUGGUUCGUACUACUAGUUCUUGGGUAAAUUUGUAAAUGUUCAGAUAAUUCUUCUCUAUUCUUACUAUAAUCUCAUUCAGAUUGUAUUUUCUGUUAGUGGCUUACCUAGCGGAUCGAGUUAGGUGCCAUAACGACUUGUGAUUUUUGGGUCGUGACAGUUAUCAACCCCAAUGGUAAUAGUAGUGCAUUUAAUAAAGAAAAUAUUUUCAUCAUUAGAUUAAAAUGCAAUUUGUGUAAAUUAUAUGAUAGAAAUUAAAGAGCUAUCUUAGCUAGCAAAAAUGAAUAUACUGAUCAACUAAAUAAAAGGUUGAUUGCUAUGUUUUAUGGUAAUGUUACACCCAAUGUUUCGUACGUAAAAGUAUGCCAUAAGUAAAUUAAUGGGAGCUCGGAAAUGAGAUGUUACAUCUCGCAUUUUCGUGUGUUAAAGUUUUUUCGUAAGUUAAUCGAUGUAAGUUUGGGAAUGAUAUUAUUUUGAGAUUAUAAAUAUUAUGCUAUUUCAAACAAGCGACAAGUAAAUUCGUGAAUGUGAAAGGGUAAGCUGUAGCGAUCCGGCAGGUCAUUUUGAGAAUUAAUGCCCCGAUCAUCUAUUCACUGCUUUCCCCGUAUCUAUUUCUAUUAUUGUGAAUUGCCGGGAUGGUUCAUCUUGAGUUUCGGAGUGUUUUGGGACACUUAGACCCUAAAUAAGAGCGUAAGUCUUAGAAUUUGGACCGUAGUCGGGGAAGUAUGAAGAUGUCUCCGGAAUAGAAUUACGUUGAUUCCGCUAGCUCCGUUGGGUGAUUUCGGUCUUAGAGGCAUGUUUGGAUUGCGUUUUGGAGGUCUGUAGCUCAUUUAGGCUUGAAAUGGCGAAAGUUGAUUUUUUGGAGUUUCGGCCCAACAGUGGAAAUUUUGACAUCAGGGUCAAAAUCCGAUUCUAAAAGUUGGAAUAGGUCCAUAGUAUUGAAUAUGACUUGUGUGCAAAAUUUGGGUUCAAUCGUACGUGUUUUGCUUGGUUUCGGUAUCAGAUGUAGAAUUUUGGAAAUUCAAGUUUUUAAGUUUGGAUUAGAGGGUGAUUCGUAGUUUUAGAGUUGUUUGAUGUGAUUUGAGUGAUCAACUAAGUUCAAAUGAUGUUUUAGGAUUGAUUGGUAUGUUUGGUUGAGGUUCCAGGGGCCUCGGGUGAGUUUCGGAUGCUCAACGGGUCAUUUUUGGACUUAAAGAAGUGGCAGAUUUUCUGGUGUUUUGUUGCAGUGAAAUCCUUCAUCGCGUUCGCGAGAGGAGUCUCGUGUUCGCGUAGAGCAUCUGGGAGAAGCAGCUAAGUGGUACUUUGCAUUCGCGAAGGUGUGGACCCUUUAGCCUACGCGUUCGCGACAUGGUCCUCGCGUUCGCGAAGGGUCUGCCAGUGUAAGCUAUGCGUUUGCGAAAGGACCCUCGCGUUCGCGAAAGAGGAAUUUGGGCCAGUGGGAUUUUUCUCAACGCGUUCGCGAAGAAGGACGCAUCUGGGCAGAAUUUAAAAAUCCAAAAUCGAGGGUUUGAGUUCAUAAUUUUAAAAAUUAAUAGAGAGCUCGGUAGAAGGCAAAAUUUGGAGAGAUUUUCGGAGGAAGUUUGUGGGUAAUGAUUCCUAACUACUUUUUUAUUAUAUCCCAUUAAUCUAAGCUCAAUUUCAUCAUUUAAUUUCGAAUUUGGGGUGAAAAUUUAGGGAAAAUUUUAGAAAAUCUUUAGGCCGAAUUUUGGGAUUUUGAUCGAUAUUUUGGUAUCGGAUUUGGGUGAAUUUGGUAUGGUUAGACUCGUGAGUGAAUGAGUGUUCAUAAUUUGUGAUUUUUACCUGAUUCCUAGAUUUUGGUCCGGGGAGGAUUUUUUGGCAUUUUCCUAUUUUCUUACCUUAGCUUUGAAUUAAUUAGUUAAACUAGUUGCUUGUAGUUUUAUUUACGUUAUGUAAUUAAUUUGAUUAGAUUUGGGCUACUUUGAGUUGGAUACUCGUGGCAAGAGCGUGAUAUCAGAUUGAUUUUGAGCUGGUUCGAGGUAAGUGGCUUGCUUAACCUUGUGUGGGGGGAAUUUCCCUUAGGAUUUUGGUACUGUUAUUAUAUGAAUGCCGUGUACGUGAGGUGAUGAGUGCGUACAUGUGCUAAUUGUUAAAAAACUCCGUUUUCUUUAAGUAAAUAUCUAUGUUUUUCCUUUAAUUGAACAAUACUAGUGUGUGAAGCCUCAUGUUUAGCUCAGGAAAGCAUGCUUAUGUGACUUAAUUGUCUUAUUUGCGUUAACUGCUUAUUUGGAUUCUGUGUAGCAUGUCUAGAGUAGGAAUUUCCUAUUUCUUGAUACGAACUUGAAUAGAACUGUCAAUUUCUUGUUAAGACUAUUGUGUAUUUACUUUGGGACUACGGAUCGGUAUUUCGAGAGAUCUCCCUGCACAUUUAUAUUUGGGACUAAGGGACGGUAUCCUGGGAGAUACCCCUGUACUAGAUAUUUACUUUGGGACUACAGAUCGGUAUCCUGGGAGAUUCUCUAUACAUUUACGUUUGGGACUACCAGACGUUAUCCUGGGAGUUCCCCCUGUUGUUAUCUUUGUGUAUUGAGUUAUUUCUUUAUGUGAUAUCAUCUUUAUUGACUGUUAGUAUUUUAAUUAUACUGUCACAUUUCAUACUGUUUUACCUUGUUAUAUAUAUAACCAGUAGGGCCCUGACCUGAUCUCGUCACUACUCGACCGAGGUUAGGCUUGACACAACUGGGUACCGCUGUGGUGUACUCAUGCCCUUUCUUGCACAUGUUUUUCGUGUGUAGAUCCAUGUUCUUCUGCUCAACCAUACUAUCCGUGAGGCGAGGUGAUUCGGAGACUUCGAGGUAUAUCUACCGCGUUCGCAGGCCUGGAAGUCCCUCUCUAUUCUCCCUUCAGUUAUAGACUUCUUGUAUUUUUCUUCGUUUAGACUUCUGGAGUUAGAACACUAUGUAUUUCUUUAGCUUGUGAUUCAUGCGAUUCCGGGUUUUGGGAGUGCUAUGUUCAGUCGAGAGUGUUAUUAUUGUAUAUGCCGAGCGACAUUUUAAACUCUUUUAUUAUAGUUACUUGUUAGUUGGCUAGUUUUGUUUCUUUAAUUCAUUUUCCGCAAAUUGUUAGGCUUGACUAGUAGACUAGGUGCCAUCACGAUAGUUCACGGAGGGAGAACUUGGGUCAUGGCAUAAGCGAAUCGAAGAAAGUGAAUUUCGGCGAAGUUUGACUUUUUGAGAUAAAUACGAUCCAAGCUACAAUACCCCGUAUUUAUGGAUUAGUGUCAUACAAGGUACCACAUGACCAUGAUAGUAAGAUGUAUAAGGUAUGUUAAAAGUGAGUAGUAUUUUAAGUAAUUUGAGAUAAUUCUUAAUUAUGCAGGUAAUUAAUUAACUAUUGGGUAAUGAGAGAUUACCUAGUUAAUUAAGGAUUUAUUGGGUGAUUAAUUAAGCACAUUUGGAUAAGUAUUAAACUCCAAGAUGGCAGCAAAUUAAGCCCAAUUUUAUGACUCAUUAGUCAUUAGGAUAGGUGGCACAUUAAGGGGUCUUUGGGCAAGACUAAUCCCUAAAAAAUGAGGCCCACCUAAAAAUUUAGUAUAACUUUUCUAGUUCAAAAAUCAUUCUCCUAACCUCUUAAAAGACUUUCAGCAAAGGAGUGUAGUAACGUUAUUGACAAAAACAUUCUGCCAAGGAAUAUAGCAACAUUAUUGACAAAGAGUUUCAGCCAAGGAACGUAGCAACGUUAUUGAGAAAGAGUUUUAGCCAAGAUUAUCUUUGCAUAGCAACGCUAUUGCUUCGAGCAUUUUAUACGUAUUUCUCCUACUCCAAUUUUACCGUCACGUAUUUUGUUGCAAUUAACGUGUGUUAGUGGAAUUGUCAAGAAAAUCGACUCAGGCAUGUUAAGGAUAUCACUUCUUUCUUUUGGUGUGAUGUAUAUGACACAAACGAAACAAGAAAAAUCCACAACUUCCAUAAAUGACUCUAUUCAUAGAAUUAUUAGAGGUGCCUAUGUUCUUGAAUUUCCAUGUGUCCUAUUAUUUUAUAAUCUAUUCAUGAGCCUCAGAAAAAUACGUAAAUUGAUUUUAUGAUAUUAAUCAGAGGCAUAAUGGUCUUAUGACACUCCGAAAGAUUUUAUUGACGUACUUCUCAUGAAUUGCAUUCAUUUACAUUGACCCAUGACCAGAUGGAGUUAUAUACGCGUAUAUAUGUAUAUUAUAUGCAUAUGGGAUAUGGAAAAAGGUUACUGCAUUAUAUACGCACAACCACCUGAUCAGCUGGUAUACGUUGAUGAUUUUACCCACAGUGGCCGAGAUGAUGUGAUGAGAUGCCCUCAUAGGCUUGAUGAUGUUAUGAAUACAUGUACUAUGCAUGACAUGACAUUGAUACGCAUAUGCAUGACACUAUAAGUAUUUCAUGAUUUACAGAGUUAUCCAGACUUACGGGUUAAGUCAUUUACUCCAUGUUUCUUUCAUGUCUUUUAUGUACUUAUUUGUGUGCCUUACAUACUCGGUAUAUUAUUCGUACUGACAUCCUUUUUUCCUUGGGACGCUACGUUUCAUGCCCGUAGGUCCCAAUAGAUAGGUCGAAAGUCCUCCAAGCAGGCUAUCAGCUCAGCGGAAGAUGUUGGUGUGCUCCAUUUGCUCCGGAGUUGCUUGUUUGGUCAGUAUGAUUUAGACAUGUAUUGUUUGGUAUGACGGGGCCCUGUCCUUUACGAUAAUAUAUACUCUUAGAGGCUUGUAGAAAGAUGCCAUAUAUACGGAUGCUUGUAUGGCCUUGCCGACCUAUGUUUUGAGUUUACAAAUAAUCAUGUUGGCCUUAUAGGCCCGUAUGUUACAUGUAUAAGUUUUUAUAUCAGGUUGGGUCGUCCUAUAUUGAAUAUUUUCCUAUAUUUAUUCUGGUUAGCCCAUGACGGCCCGUUUGGCCCAUUUGCCAAUGAAAGUAUGAUAAGAAAUAUAUGUUAUGUUGGUACUCGGUUGAGUAAGGUACCGGGUGACCGUUGCGGCCCAUAAGUAUGGGUCGUGACCGGUAAAAAUAAAAUAUUUUUCAGUUUUGACUCAGUAGAAGAUGAUACCAACAAUAACUACCAAGAAGAAUACUUAAAUACUUUAAUACCAAAUGGCCUUCUUCCGUACAUGCUUUUGUCAAGUUCAUUAUUUCUUACGUAUGUUAGUGUCACCAUAUAUAUAAUAGACUAAGUUAAAAUUGAUCUUCUAUUGCAUAUAUGUUUAUGCACGUCAUGCUACUGAAAAUUUAGAUCCGCUAAAUAGCUUAUGUAAUAGUACACAUAUGGUAUAUAGAUUAUUUAACGACAACGUCAUACAUGCAGAACUUAUGAUACUGGUCAAUGUGCUUCUAAGUAUGUGUUUAUCCCCAAAUUCAACUUUUGUCUUCCGAAACUAAAGAAUAUCCUUUUAAAUUUGUGUGAAAAUAAUUUUCAUUAUGUUUAUGUUUUAUAGUUUUAAUAAAUAAAACACAAUGACAAACAUCCUAAAUGUUGAACUAUAUUUACCAUAAUAUGUUUUCUUACACGAAUAACUAUAUGUUGCACUUUCAACAGAGAUAUCAAUAUUAACAAUAAGAGUUUUGGUUGUGGAAUAGUAACCAAAGCAUUAGAAGGCAAUAUACACAAAAAUAUAGCGCAUAUAAAGAAGUGUUUGGCAAGAUACCAUCACGUUAGAUACCUUUAAACUACAAUACAUAAUUAUCUAAUUAACAUGGCUAAACUUUUCCAUUUUCAGAUAUUACUAAUAUCAUAUUAGAAUGGCAGUUGGAAGGAGAAAGACAAUAAACCAACAAAUAAAAGGCAAGCAAAGAAACUGUUCGACUGAAUAUACCUAACAAGUUUGCCGACACUCCUCAAUAUUCAACAGAUGCCAAAAUAUGGGUCCUAAUCAUAAUGCCGACCUUUUUUAUUGCUAUCCAUACUUUAAUAUAGUAUAGUUAUGAAAAAGGUUACUAUCAAGCAAUUCAUGUGGGAGAUGAGCUGGAAUUUCGGUUCAAAGAUACUCAAGAUCUCCAUUUGUGAUUUCAAACUUUUACAUUUUUUUUUUGGGGAGAUAAUAAUAGUUUUCAGUGUAUUGUAUCGAAGCCAUAUGAAGUUAAUUAGCUAGCGAUGUCUUUAAUUCCAACAGAAUGGAUAAUGAAAUAAAUUGCUAUUGAUAUUUUGAUUUUUUGGUUCCUUUUAUUUUCUGCUAUUAAUGAGAUAAUAUAUUUUUAUUUUAUGCUUCUUAUGGGAUCAUAAAUCUACAUAUAACGUGACAUUGGUGGAAGAUUACAAAUUCUUAAAAAGAAAAAUGUUAUGUUGCUCAAUUUUCUUUCUUGAUAGCAGACAAAAUUCAAGAACAAAGACAGAACAAUAUUAUAAAAUGAGAGCAAAAUAUAGCUUUUUUGUGUACAGAAUAUUUCUAUCCCUAUAACGGAUGAUAAUCUUUUUAUUUAUAGCUCUAUUCAGUGAGACAAGAUCCCCAAAUUAAGUUUUUCUUGAAUGAGAAUAAAACUGUCAUUAAUGGAUGCAUAAUGAUUGGUUAUAAAUGCAGAUAUUCUUUGCAACUGCUGCUCAUUGAAUAAUAUUCGAUGACAAUGCUUUGAAUCUUCGUUACUGGCUACUCUAUCUUCGGAAUUCGUUCAACAUCGAUUGCAUGCUUACAUCCGGUGAUGAUUGUUUGCUGACUCAUGUGCCACCUGUAUUUAGUUCUACGUGUCACUUUGUCAUUCAUCCAACUGUCAUUAACCUAUUUUACCCCAUACAGAUACUCCCCUUACUUUUCGGUAACACAACUUAGUGUUACCGGAAAGUAGAUAAGAAUUCUUUUCUUGGCGAAAAAAUUCCUGAACGGUCUCUGACACUUGAAAGGGCACAUGUCUUCUCGCAUUUAAUGACCCAAACAUGUGUUGCUCCAUGAUUCAGCAAAUAUUUUCACUGGUUUUCGAGGUACUCAUGACUAAGAUUUUUGUUAUCUAUAACUUCUCCCCUACUCAUCAUUUUUACUCUUUACUUUCACAACUCCCUCUUCUUCCUUGAUUCUCCUUAGAACCAUUCUGUGACAUUCAACUUUCUUAGUAAAACUUUUCUUCAAACAUAUCUUCAAGCAUUACCAUCCUCGGAAACUCUGGCCUUUUCUUCAAAAGACCCCCAAAGAAAACAAAAACAAAGGAAGUUGAAGCUGAAUCUGAACCUCCCACCCUGAACUCCAUCAUACCUCUUAAACUUAAUACGAAAUCAGACCUUCAAUAACAGAAAGCACCUUCAAAUUCUAAAAGUGAUAGGUUCUGGCCUAUUCGGAGGAACCCUUCUUCCAUUCGUCCUCCUAGUGUCCUUGUCAUGAAGGAGGAAUGCCAUUGGAACAAGGUUGAAAUCCUCACCCCCAAAAAAGGUAGAAAGAGUUACCUUCUCCAAGCCAGGUUUCAUAUAUUUUUACACAUACCCUUUCACUUUGGGCCAUUUAACUUUGAGAAUGGGUGAAGGAACUGACCCAAUAAUCUUAGAGUUAUCCCAUCGAUACCAAGUAUGUUUGGCAUAAGUAGGCCUAUCUGUGUGGCGUACGGUGGUUUGCCACCACCAAUGGUGUUAUGAGACCGAGGAAACCCUAACUCUCGUACAUAUAAUGAACCUCUACUCCAAAAAGAUUUUUCGUGAGGGUAUGCUAAAUCUUAGAAAAUGCGGUGAUCAUGCUCUUCUUACUAGCAUUGACAACGACACUAACCGUGGAUGGAUGGAACAGUUUGUUAUUAUCGCUACCAGGGAUAUCAUCCUAACCACAAUACCAGCUUUUCCCAAAUCAUGAAAUCUUUUUCGUAAGUUUUUCGGGUAUUUGCUUCCUUUCCUUGUAAAAAGAAAUCUUCUUUCUUUGCUAACUUUUUAUUUUCUUUAUUCCAGCCACUCACUAGGAGCUCCAGCGGUUCAAGAUUUGGACCGAUGGGUACAAAAAAUUCUGAAUAUCACUAUACCAGAAUUCUAAAGGUGAAAGGGAAUGACUCCCAAAUACGGGUGGAAAUCCAAAAAUCAUGAUAAAUAAAACUCUUCUUCCUUUAUUUCAACCGUUUAAUACAUUCUGCAAACAAUUUAACUACCUUAUAUUGCCAAACAGGACUUCCGAACGGAUCCAUUGUGUGCCCCGACAUCGAAGCUCUUGAUGACCCAAUGGAAGCUCAACGAGUAUUUUAGAGUGCCCUUAACCAGAGGAGGGCUCGUGAAUGUACUCGUGCCUCUACUAAAGGUGCCUCCUCCCGAAGUCUCUAGUCAAAAAAUAAGCAACCAAAAAGGAAACGUAUCUCCACGGUUGGGACUCAGGAGAAGAGAAUAAUAAAACACCAACCGGACCAACCACAAUGGUCCUUGAUGAUGAAGAAGAGGUUGAUGGUGAAGAGGCCCCCUUUCAAAAAAGAAAAAGAUCUUCAUCAAUUCAACCGGAUGCUUAGCCGGGGGAGUUUCAAACUCUACCUCCAAAGGAAGUUCAAGAACUCUGGGAGGGGGAGGGGGUGAAAUAGCAAUAUCCGAAAAUGCUACAUCUCAUUUUUGGAUUCCCACAAUUGCUUCUGCUUAAAGGAUUUGAAUUCCUGACCUUCCUCCAUUGUCAACUUUUGAGCCGAUAAUAGCUUCUUCUCCAUCCACACCAACUACUUCUUCUCCACUGACCCCAGCUGAACAAGUAGGGAAUGCCCCUUCUCCACAGUCUCCCAACCAAGAAAAUUUGAGAAAUACUUAUUUGGUACCCACUCAAGACCCUCAUGGAAAACAAAGUGCCAUUCUUUCGAUUUCGAAGGAGUGCCAUAUACUUUCCAAGACGGUGGAUCUCGCCAAUUACCUGAAGUCGUUGGGCUCAGAGAAAGAUUGGAGAAAGUAGGACACUCUUUUUGUGAAGUGUCUGAUAAACAAUAACAUGCAUUGUUCGGUGCAGGUAGCAAUCUAACUUCCUCCUAUCUUCUUUUAAUUUGCACUUCGCAUUAAUUACUUUAGGUCUAACCUUUUUCAUGUCAACCUUAUUGCUUCCAAGGGCCUGCAAAGGUUGAUUUUGGACAAGCAAGAGAUUUCUUCAGAACGAGAUCAACUUUUGGUUGAAGGAAUUAGCUUACCGGGCGCCUCUCAGUGCUGGAGGCAAAAAUUGCUCAAAUAGAUGACCUCAAGGCCCGAUUCCAGCAGUCCAAACAAGAUAGAGUGGCUCACAGCUUGGAAUCCGCCCAGCUACAUGAAAACCUUACAGACCCAAAGCCUAAAUGUGUUGAACUUCAUGAUAUUGUGACUGUUGCUGCCGAGCGCGAGUCUGUCUUUAUGGAACAAGUUAAUAACUUAGAGGCUAUCUUACGCUCCAAAAUUGAGGAGGCCAAUGCUGCCAAGGAGAAUAGGGCGAGAAUGGAGGAAAGAUUCAAAAGGACCAUGGAGCAGAAUCAACUCCAUUCAUUAACCUAUGUCGAGCUGGACUCCAAAAUCAACAUUAUUAAAGCUGAAAAUGAAAAUCUCUAAUCCAAGAUUGAAAAAUUCCGAGCUAAACUCUAAGACCAAGAGGAUCCACUCGUCUUCGAGAAAACCUACACCAUUUAUUAUACGAAGAGGAAGACCUUGGAGGAUGCUAAAGAUGGAAUUUCUAACAUUGAUGAAUAUAGUGCUAAAGCACAGGAGCUGGAUACAACUACUCACAAGAAUCUCCCUACUCGGCCCAUUACAUCUGAUUCUUUGAAUACUAACUCCGAGUAAUCGGGAACCGAGGGAGAGACUGAAAAAGAUGAAGGCCUCUAAUCGGAAGUGGAACAACCUUCUCCUAAUAAAGAAAACGAAGGCUUUUCUCUCCCUUUGGGUUCUGGCAGCAAGAACUGAUGUAGUUUUCAUUACUUCUUGUAAUUGUGACAAAACUUUCCACUAGUUUGGCAAUUUAUUUAAUAAAAGAAACCAUUUACUUAAGUAUUGUGCAAGAAAAUAUUCUUUUACAUUAACUGACAAAGUUUCAGGAAUCUUUUCACAUCCGAUAGCUUUUGAUUCCAGGCAUAAACACUUCCAGAAUCUACCUUUUACUAUGAGGGUUUCAUAAGAGAGGGCCCUCGUAUUUACGAUGACAAUGUCUCAUGUUCAUUCCGGCACAACCAUUUAAAGUUUUUGUUAACACUCAAAUGAUAAAAUAAAUUAACUUAUCAUUCAGGAAAGAAUAAUAUAAAAAUAAAAGGACUUUGAUUUAUUCCCUCUAUCUUUAAAAGUAUAUUUACAUAAACAUUCAUUUGCUUAAGUAAAUAAAGGUUCCAAUACAUGUGGCUAACUUGUACAACUUAUUUCUGUGAGGCUGAUCAUGUAGUCACCGGCCCUGAUAAGAUAUUGAUCCUGGUUCUACUGGUCCCUGUCUUUAUAACACUUUUACUGCUUUGAUAUGUAUUAUUCCCACCAAUGUUCAGAUUCUAAGUGUGAGAAUUAGAACACUGAGGUCUUGCAUUCGUCGAUGACAUAUCGUAGUAUCUUUACAUUAUUGCCUUAUUAAUAGAAAUAACUUGGGGAUGGUUAAAUAAUCUACUUCCAGAUGUUAACAAGCCAAAGAUUACUUAACCAUCCACAAGUUGUUUGCCUCACGAGUUGAUCUACAUAAAACUAUUUCUGGAAGUCCCUCAUUUGUCGACGACCCUUCCUUCAUAGUAUGCUUUAUAUUGUUGCCUCAUUAAAAACCUUGCUAGAAAAAUAUAAUUGGGAUAAAAACUGGUCGAAGAGAAAAGGAGUGUAGAGCAUACUUUUAGUACCAGCAAGGAUCUUUAGCAAUAUUACCUUUUGAGGUGGGUCAUAUUCCAAUUGCUUGGCAAUUUGACUCCAUCUUGAUCUUCCAAUUCAUACGAACAUUUACCAGUUAUAGCUGAAAUCUGAUAAGUUCUUUCCCAUGUUGGUCCCAGCUUCCCAACAUUAACGUUUCAAGUACUUUGAGUGACUUUUCUUAGGACCAAAUCCCCAACUUUGAAAUAUCAUAGAUUCUCUCUGCGGUUAAAAUACAUUUGCAUCAUUUGCUUUUGUGCCAUUAUCCUUACAUACGCCAGAUCCCCAUGCUCUUCAAGCAAAUCUAAUUUAUCCAGCAAUGAUUCAUUGUUUGCUUUUUCUUUUGCUCGGAAAAACCCUAUGUUCAGUUCCCCCACUUCCAUCGGUAUCAAAGACUUUUAAUUGUAUACAAGUGAAAAGGGUGUUUUAUACGUGCUCGACUUUGUCGUGGUCUGGUAUGCCCAUAACAUACCCGGUAGCUCAUCUGGAAACUUGACUUUAGCAUCUUCUAACUUCUUUUAAGGUUUGAAUAAUUACCUUGUUAGUCGACUCCACCUGUCCAUUAGCACUCGAGUGGUAUGGUAAAGAUGUAACUCGUUUGAUCUUCAAUCCUUCCAAAAACUUUGUCAGUUUGGAAACUAUGAAUUGUGGUCCAUUGUCACAAGUUAUUUCUAUUGGUUUUCCGAAUUGGUAAAUUAUGGUCCUAUAUAAAAUUGACCAUCUCUCAUUAUUCGAUCUUUUGGUAAGCACAUGCUUCAACUUAUUUAGUAAAAUAAUAAUUUAAAACCAAAAGAAAUUUUACCUUACCAGGUUCUAGUGGCAAGGGACCCACUAUGUCCAUCCCCCAUUUCAUAAAUGGCCACGGUGACACCACCGAAUGCAAAAGUUCUACAUAUCAAUGCACUAACUGUGCAUGACGCUGACAUUUAUCACACUUUUGUAGAAUUAUCUUUGCAUCUUGCUACAUCCGGGGUCAAUAGUAGCCAGCUCUGACUAACUUGAGAAUUAAUUAGUCUACACCAGAAUGGUUCCGGAAUACUCCUUCAUGAACUUCCAUCAUCACAUAGUCAGCCUCCGAGGCCCCUAGACACAAAUCUAGUGCCCCUUGGAACGAUCUCAUGUAUAACUGUCAAUCAAAAAGAUAGUAACGAGUCACCUUGGUCCGUAGUGCCAAGGAUUCUUUUGGGUCUUCUAGAAAUUUGCCAUGUCUUAGAUAUUCAAUGAACUCGUUCCUCCGGUCCCAUAUUAAGUUGGUUGAAUUAAUUUCACAGUAGCUGUCCACGCCCAACACCGAAUAUAGUAAUUGAACGAAUAUACCAGAAUCAGAUCCUUCCAUCUCUGUGGAUGAACCCAAAUUGGCCAAUGCGUCUGCCUUCAAAUUUUCCUCCCUUGGAAUGUGGACGAUUGACCACUCUGUGAAUCGUGUAAGUAAUGGUUGAACCUUGUUCAAGUUCUGUUGCAUGCGCUACUCCUUGGUGUCGAAAAUUCUAUACACUUGGUUUACCACCAACUGGAAUCGCAUUUUAUCUCGAUGACCUUGGAACCUAGUCCCCGAGCUAGUUCAAGUUCUGCAACCAAAGCCUCGUACUCGGCUUUAUUGUUAGUUAAUGGUAAAAUUCUAUUGGCCUUCCUUAGGGUUUCCCCCAAAUGAGUGAUUAAAAUUACACCAAAACCGGACCCUUUUACGUUGGAGGCUCCAUUUGUAAACAAGAUCAGACUCUCUAUACCAUUCCCGAUACCAACAAUGCUUCUUUAGCAGUAAAGGCAUUAAUUCCGAACUGAAAUCAGUCACGAAGUCGGCCUAAACUUGUUACUUAAUUGCAGUCUUGGGCUUGUAUUCAAUAUAGAAUUCACUAACUUCGACCACCUACUUAGCCAAAUGACCUGACAACUCAGGCUUAUGAAGGACAUUCCUUAACGAAAAGGUUGUCACAAUGGCUAUUAGAUGACAUUAAAAAUAUGGUCUAAGCUUCUAAGAGGCAACUACGAGAGCUAAGGCCAGCUUUUCAAGGUGCGGAUAACGUGUAUCCGCUCCUGAUAAUAUUUUACUAAUAUAAUAAAUGGGAAAUUGCAUACCAUCUUCUUCCCGGACCAAAACGGCACUUACCACUACUUUUGAGACCGCUAGAUAAAUCAAUAGUUGCUCACCUUCUCCUAAUUUCUACAACAACGGAGGGCUAGAUAGGUACCUUUUUAGGUCUUUAAGUGCAUAUUGGUAUUCCGGAGUCCAUACGAUGUCAUUCUUUUUUUUCAAAAGCAAAAAAAAAAUGAUGGAACUUUUACGAAGACCUCGAGAUGAACCUUCUUAGAGAUACCAAUCUACCGGUCAACAUCUUUAUUCCUUCACGCCUGUCAGCUGGUCUGGGAUAUUCUCGAUGGAUUUGAUUUUAUUGGGGUUUACCUUAAUUCCUCUUUGAGAGACCAAAAACCCCAGGAACUUAUCGGAACCCACUCCGAAGGCAUAUUUCUUCAGGUUGAGAUUCAUGUUGUACUUUUUCAGAAUGUCAAACGUCCCUUAGAGAUGUUCCAGUUGAUCUCCUGCAUAAAGAGACUUAACUAGCAUGUCGUCGAUAUAAGCUUCCAUCGUCUUACCUAUCUAUUUUUUAAAUAUCUUAUUAGCGAGCCUCUAAUAAGUGGCUCCCGUAUUUUUAAUCCCACAAGGCAUCACAUUAUAGCAAUAUGUGGUAAAGUUUGUGAUGAAAGAAUUCUUCUUUUAAUUUUCUGGGUCCAUCGUAAUUUGAUAAUACCCGAAAUAAGCAUCAAGAAAACUCAUCAACUCGUGCCUGGCUGCAGCAUUGAUCAUUUGAUCAAUGUUCGGCAAUAGGAAAAAGUCUUUGGGGCACACUUUAUUUAAAUUCUUAUCAUCUACACACAUCCUAAAUUUUCUAUUCUUUUUAGGCACUACUACGUUAGCUAUCCACUUCGAGUACUUUACCUCUCGAAUUGAACUGAUGUUAAGUAAUCGGGUUACCUCUUCCUUAACAAACCUGUUUUUGACCUUUGCUAUCAAUUGUUUCUUCUGCCUUACCGGGGGGAAGUUUGGAUCCAGACUAAGUUUGGAGACCUCCAAAUCCAAUGGAAAAUUUGUCAUAUCUGAAUGCAACCAUGAAAAGCAAUCAACGUUAGAUUUAAAAAAAUCUAUAAGUUUCAACCUGAGUUCGGGACUCAACCCCGUUCCUAAAUGAAAUUUUCUUUCCAGAAAUUCUUCAAACAAAGCCACUUGUUUGAGCUCUUCUGCGGUUAACUUGGUUGCAUCCAUCUUUUCUGGUACCUGAAAAGACCUUGGUGCCUGAUAUAAUUCUGAUGACUUCUCGUUUUUAUCAUCUACAAUUGGGAUGGGAGAAGGCAUUGGUUCCUGUAGUUGCUAUUUGCUGGUUUCUUUGCCCUUGCUGCUGGAAAUGGUUACUGUGUUCAUCUCCCUUACAGCAGAUUGAUCUCCUCUGAUCUGCUUGAUCCCUUCUAGUGUUGGAAACUUUAACAGUUAAUGGUAUGUGAAGGUACGACCUUCAUUUUGAUGUAUCCACGGUCUUCCAAAGAUUAUAUUAUAGACCAUGUCGCCAUUUACCACUUCAAACAGGGUGGUCUUUGCUACACCUUCAGCAUGUGUGGGCAGAAAAAUUUCUCCUCGGGUUGUUAUACUUGUUAUGUUGAAGCCAGCUAAAAGCUUUGUUGAUGGAAUGAUAUUCCCAGUUAACUUUGCUUCUCUCCAUUGUAUGAUAUUGGUUGAACUUCCUGGAUCAACCAAAAUACGCUUAAUACUAAAAUCUAAAAUAUUAAAAGAAAUUACCAAAGCAUCAUUUUGCGGUAGGAUAAGUCCAUCGGCAUCUUCCAUCGUGAAGGUGAUGUCAUCUUUUGAGACUUCUCGGAUCCUCUUGCCAUGAGUCACUGAUAUAUUCGUCUUAUUUGCUGGCAAAAAUGUCACCCCAUUUACUUUGUCUCCUCUGAAGAUCAUGUUGAUUGUCAUUCGAGGUGACCCUUCUGCUGGUUUUAAUGGUUAUGUAAUAUCCCUAUUUCUCUUAGAGUUGUUUUUGGUGCGAUCGCUUAACAAUUCCCCGAGGUGACCAUUCUUUAACAAUAUUUCCACCUCUUCAUGAAGAUGUCGGCAGUCCCCAGUCCUAUUAUCGUGAGUCCCAUAGAAUUCACACCAUAGAUUAGGAUCCCUUUGGCUAGGAUCCGAUCAGAUCGAUUUUGGGAACCUAAAUUCUUUAAUAUUUCUCAUGGGCGACACUAGUUCCACUAGGGUGAUACUAAAAUUGUAAUUAAACAACCGGGGAUACGCUGAAUCUUAGGAUCAUGGCACCUUUUUCUCCUACAACAAUCUGUUACUCCGGCCAUGAUCCAUCCUUCUAUCGCAAAUAAACCUAUUCGAUGACUGGAAUCCUUUAUUAUCGUGCCCUUCGGCCUUCUCAUAAGGCUGAAAAUGACUUCUAGAGUGUAUUCGAUCUAUAUCAAAAUCAUUUUUAAACUUAUCUUGAUUUCAAUCACGAUUCCGUCCUUUGGAAGACACCGUGGAACCAAGUCGACCAUCUUCACUUCUGAUCUUUGACUCAUAGAGAUAUUAAACAUCUGCCCAUAUGGUUGCCUGAAUUUCGAGCAAGCUCUCCUGCAAUUUUUGUGAGUUAUCGGAGCUUAAUAGGUUGAGACCCUUUGUAAAUGCCUCCGUUGCCCACUCAUCUUGAACCGCAGAUAACAACAUCAUUUCUUUCCGGAACCAGAUCACAAACUCUCUUAACAAUUUAGCUUUUCUUUAAGAUAUCAUGAAUAUAUCCACCUUCCUUGCUUGGACCUUUCUUGCUCCAGCAUUAUCUUUGAUAAACGAAUCUACAAGCAUUUCAAAAGGGUCAAUAGAAUGUUUUGAUAAGAGGGAAUACCAGGCUAAGUCACCAUUCGUAAGGGUUUCACCAAACUUCUUCAACAAAACCGAUUCGAUGUAAUGCUGGGCCAAGUUGUUUUCCUUUACUGUCGUAGUGUAGGUCAUAUCAUGAUGUGCUCCUGUGGAUCCGAAGUCACAUCAUAUUUUGGUAUAUCCAACAUCUUAAACCUCUUUGGGAUUAACUUCGAUGCAGCACAUAGUUUAAACAGCAACUACAUAUACUUCUUUAAAUCUGAUCCUUUUAACAUCGGCGGCACCCCCGUGAUAUGAUCCAUCAGAGCGAAAUUCCUUUGCAUUCUAAUCCAUUCAUUCAUUCAUUUCUCUCAUUAAUCUUAUGAGCUCGGUUUUGAAAGGGUUAUUUAAAUUGUUGUUCGCAAAUUCACUACCGGUACCUCUGGCCUCGUCGAAAUUGACCUCCUCUCUUGGUGUGUCGUUAUCAGUUCCUUGAGUCGUUUGCUUUACGAGAAUGCUGGGAGGAAUCGGGGCCCUUCCAUUAGCAUUAUUAGAAGCUCCCCAUACUACAUGUUUCAAUUUUGUCAUCACCCAAUCUUGCCUUGAGAGGCGAUCCAUAAUUGCCUUUUUCUAUUCCCUCAAGAUUUUGACUAUUUCAACAACGUGCUCAUCCUUUGCAUCAUCAAGAGUUGGGCCCCGCACAUGUCGAGGAUACAGACCUUCGCGAACUAGGUUGUUUCAUCCCCUUCGUUGUGGGGCUCACUGAUUGAAUCAUCACGCGUGAACACAUCUUCUUGUUGACCGUGUACUCCAACAUUUUAAACAAUAUUGACAUCAUUAGCUGUCAUACCUUAUCUUUCUUUUUCUAAGGAAGGAAUCAAAAUUUGUCAGUAAUAGAUAAAUAGAUCAAAGCAAUUACACAAUUGUCAAUGCCCCACAGUGGACGCCAAACUGUUUACCCAUAAAAUGAUAUAGUUAGAUUUGUAACGUAGUUUAUAGACAAAUAAAUCGAUUUGGUCCUAAAGUACGAAAACAAUAAUAACCGAAACAAGAAUACGAAAUAAAACUAAUGGAAACACAAGCCCGAGUAUGAAUUUAGCCUUUCCAAUGGCAAAAAGAGAACAUUAUUCAAGAACAAAGACUGAGAACAAUAUUAUAAAAUGGGAGCAGAAUAUAGCUUUUUUGUGUACAAAAUAUUUCCACCCCUACAAUGGAUGCUAAUCCUCCUACUUACAGCUCUGUUCUGGGAGACAAGAUCCUCAAAUCAAGUUCCUCUUGAAUGAGAAUAAAACCGUCAUUGAUGGCUGCAUAAUUGUUGGCUAUAAAUGCAUAUAUUCUUUGUAACAGUUGCUCGUUGAAUGUUAUCUAAUGAAAAUGCUUUGAAUCUUCAUUAUUAAUUGGCUACUCCGUCUUCGAGAUUCAUUCAGUAUCGAUUGCAUGAUUACAUCUGGUGCCAGCUGUUUGCUGACUCACGUCCCAUCUAUCUUUUGUUCCAUGCGUCACUUCGUCAUUCGCCCAACUAUCAUUAACCGAUUUUGCCCCAUACAGGUGUAGCUUUGAUUAUCGACACACAAGUUGAGGCUGACUCCAGUAUAUUGAGGCCAAAGGCACAGACAUAUAUAGGACUAGGACUAAACCGUGUAUUUCCGAGAAAAACUUAUAUACAUACGAUACCUAAUUCAAAACAUAGGAAAAUGGUAAUUUGUUUAGUCUUUUUCCCGUUCUUUUCCCUUUUUGAAUGAUUUUAGAAGUUUAAUUGUAUUCUAAAGACUAAACAUCAAUCCUCCCACGAUACUUGAGUUUUGAAGGUUACGUGGGUGGCAUACAUAAGUUCGUUGCUCAUUCUUCAAUUGUCAUUAUCUUUUUUUGUUGUUUCUAUCGUCACUUCCUUUUCUUUGUUGCAUUAUAGUGUUUGAUCUAAUUCUUAAUGUUAGCUAGAAAAAAUGGACAGCAAUGAGGUGUUAUAUAUAUNNNNNNNNNNNNNNNNNNNNNNNNUAUAUUAGUUAGUUAAAGCGGUUAAUGAAAAAAAAAGUUUGAUAUCACUAAACAACUCAAUAAAUGAAUAUGCAUGCGAGUCAUCUAUCAUAUCCGUAUAACAAUUAAGCAUUGGUUGAUUUUCGCCACUUGGAAUUAAAAAUUUACGUAACAAACUUCCUUCAUGCAAAGAGGUGUGAACAUUGGAUUAGAACUCGUACACACUGGACAAACAAAUUAGUCCCCACAUCAACUAACUCAAGUUCCAAACUCAUAGGCUAGCUAGUUAUAACCAACACUUAUAAAUACCACUCAAUAUUAACAAGAGAAAACAUCCCAACAGCACCCAAGUAUCUUGUACUACUACUUUUUCAAAACUCAUCUGCCAUCACUUUUAUUACCAAAAUGGCUGAAGAGAAGAAGCACCACUUCGGUCUCUUCCACCACAAGGACAAGGAGGAAGACAAAACUACCUAUGGAGAAACUCCAUAUGGUGGUGAUACUGAAAAAACUACCUAUGGAGAGAAUACAUAUGAAGAGAAAACUAGUUAUGGUGGGGGAGAUAACUAUGGGGAUAACAAAUAUGGUGAGAAAACUGGCUAUGGAGAAAGUGGAUAUGGAGAGAAAACUAGUUAUGGUGAGGGAGGUAACUAUGGAGAUAGUGGCUAUGAAAAUAAGACUAGCUAUGGAGAUAGUGGCUAUGAAAAUAAGACUAGUUAUGGAGAUAGCGGCUAUGAAAACAAGACUGGCUAUGGAGAUAUUCCAUCUGAUACUACCUAUGGAGAGAAAACUAAUUAUGGUGAAGGAGAUACCUAUGGAAAAGGAGCUGCCUACUCAUCUGAGACCACUAAUUUUGAAGAGACUACUGAUGAAGGCAAAACUGGUGAGGAUUAUGAGAAAGAGAAAAAGCACCACAAGCAUCUUGAACACGUGGGAGGGCUUGGGGCUGCUGCUGCUGGUGCCUUUGCCUUGGUAAUUUUUCACACAAUGUUUUAUGUUACAGUUUUAACUUUUAUAUCCUUGUGGUCCAGUCCUUCCCCGGACCCCGCGCAUAACGGAAACUCAGUGCAUCGGACUGCCUUUAUUGUCGUAUCAGUAAAGUUACAAAAUUAUGUUAAUUAAAGUCAUUGAACUUUACCUAUUGUAUCAGCUAAGUCACAAAAUUAUUUGUUGUCUCAUAAAAGUCAUUGACAAUUUGUUAGUUGUCUAGAAAAUACAAUUCACUAGAAAGUCAAAUUUUUUAAUAAAAAUUGAUAUUAGUAGCCAAGAGAAUAAGAGAAACUACUACUCUUUCCGUCUCACUUCAUGUGAAGGUGUUUGACUGGACAUGAAAUUUAAGAAAUAAAGAAAAAAAUUUGAAACUUGUGGUUUAAAAUAAUUUAUAGAAAUUUAUUUGGCUAAAAAUUAUCUCAUUAAGGGUAAAAGAAAAAAUUUAAAAUUAAGUUGUUACUAAAUAUAGAAAUGUGUCAUUUUUUUAUGAGUGAGUAAGAAGAAAAGAGUGUCACAUCAAAUUGAUUAAAAUAGACUCAUAGUCAAAUAUUAUGGGUCAAUUUGAAGAAAAUUUUGAUUUUUACUCUAGAUAUUGUAAAAAGAAUUUACACUAUCAAUCAUUCAUCUAGAAAGAUUAAUAGAGUUGUUAACUAUUCCUUUUUGUUUCUUCCAUAUUUUGGUAUGAAAAUUUCA